rnacentral:rRNA from 1 species
AACGAACGCUGGCGGCAUGCCUAACGCAUGCAAGUCGAACGAGACCUUCGGGUCUAGUGGCGCACGGGUGCGUAACGCGUGGGAACCUGCCCUUAGGUUCGGAAUAACUCCCCGAAAGGGGUGCUAAUACCGGAUAAUGUCUUCGGACCAAAGAUUUAUCGCCUUUGGAUGGGCCCGCGUUGGAUUAGCUAGUUGGUAGGGUAAAAGCCUACCAAGGCGACGAUCCAUAGCUGGUCUGAGAGGAUGAUCAGCCACACUGGGACUGAGACACGGCCCAGACUCCUACGGGAGGCAGCAGUGGGGAAUAUUGGACAAUGGGCGGAAGCCUGAUCCAGCAAUGCCGCGUGAGUGAUGAAGGCCUUAGGGUUGUAAAGCUCUUUUACCCGGGAUGAUAAUGACAGUACCGGGAGAAUAAGCUCCGGCUAACUCCGUG